rnacentral:rRNA from 1 species
AGAGUUUGAUUCUGGCUCAGAACGAACGCUGGCGGCGUGGAUAAGACAUGCAAGUCGAACGAGAGAAUUGCUAGCUUGCUAAUAAUUCUCUAGUGGCGCACGGGUGAGUAACACGUGAGUAAUCUGCCCCCGAGAGCGGGAUAGCCCUGGGAAACUGGGAUUAAUACCGCAUAGUAUCGAAAGAUUAAAGCAGCAAUGCGCUUGGGGAUGGGCUCGCGGCCUAUUAGUUAGUUGGUGAGGUAACGGCUCACCAAGGCGAUGACGGGUAGCCGGUCUGAGAGGAUGUCCGGCCACACUGGAACUGAGACACGGUCCAGACACCUACGGGUGGCAGCAGUCGAGAAUCAUUCACAAUGGGGGAAACCCUGAUGGUGCGACGCCGCGUGGGGGAAUGAAGGUCUUCGGAUUGUAAACCCCUGUCAUGUGGGAGCAAAUUAAAAAGAUAGUACCACAAGAGGAAGAGACGGCUAACUCUGUGCCAGCAGCCGCGGUAAUACAGAGGUCUCAAGCGUUGUUCGGAAUCACUGGGCGUAAAGCGUGCGUAGGCUGUUUCGUAAGUCGUGUGUGAAAGGCGCGGGCUCAACCCGCGGACGGCACAUGAUACUGCGAGACUAGAGUAAUGGAGGGGGAACCGGAAUUCUCGGUGUAGCAGUGAAAUGCGUAGAUAUCGAGAGGAACACUCGUGGCGAAGGCGGGUUCCUGGACAUUAACUGACGCUGAGGCACGAAGGCCAGGGGAGCGAAAGGGAUUAGAUACCCCUGUAGUCCUGGCAGUAAACGGUGCACGCUUGGUGUGCGGGGAAUCGACCCCCUGCGUGCCGGAGCUAACGCGUUAAGCGUGCCGCCUGGGGAGUACGGUCGCAAGAUUAAAACUCAAAGAAAUUGACGGGGACCCGCACAAGCGGUGGAGUAUGUGGCUUAAUUCGAUGCAACGCGAAGAACCUUACCUGGGCUUGACAUGUAAUGAACAACAUGUGAAAGCAUGCGACUCUUCGGAGGCGUUACACAGGUGCUGCAUGGCCGUCGUCAGCUCGUGUCGUGAGAUGUUUGGUUAAGUCCAGCAACGAGCGCAACCCCUGUUGCCAGUUACCAGCACGUGAAGGUGGGGACUCUGGCGAGACUGCCCAGAUCAACUGGGAGGAAGGUGGGGACGACGUCAGGUCAGUAUGGCCCUUAUGCCCAGGGCUGCACACGUACUACAAUGCCCAGUACAGAGGGGGCCGAAGCCGCGAGGCGGAGGAAAUCCUGAAAACUGGGCCCAGUUCGGACUGUAGGCUGCAACCCGCCUACACGAAGCCGGAAUCGCUAGUAAUGGCGCAUCAGCUACGGCGCCGUGAAUACGUUCCCGGGUCUUGUACACACCGCCCGUCACAUCAUGGAAGCCGGUCGCACCCGAAGUAUCUGAAGCCAACCGCAAGGAGGCAGGGUCCUAAGGUGAGACUGGUAACUGGGAUGAAGUCGUAACAAGGUAGCCGUAGGGGAACCUGCGG